rnacentral:rRNA from 1 species
GACAGAGGGGGCAAGCGUUGCUCGGAAUUACUGGGCGUAAAGCGCGUGUAGGCGGUCAGGCAAGUCGGAUGUGAAAUCCCGUGGCUCAACUACGGAAGUGCACCCGAAACUGCUUGACUUGAGUCCCGGAGAGGAAGGCGGAAUGCUUGGUGUAGAGGUGAAAUUCGUAGAUAUCAAGCGGAACACCGGUGGCGAAGGCGGCCUUCUGGACGAGGACUGACGCUGAGACGCGAAAGCGUGGGGAGCAAACAGG